GAUCCUGGCUCAGGAUGAACGCUGGCGGCGUGCUUAACACAUGCAAGUCGAACGAAGCACUUUAACCUGAUUCUUCGGAUUAAGGUUUUGUUGACUGAGUGGCGGACGGGUGAGUAACGCGUGGGUAACCUGCCUCAUACAGGGGGAGUAACAGUUAGAAAUGACUGCUAAUACCGCAUAAGACCACGGAGCCGCAUGGCUCAGUGGGAAAAACUCCGGUGGUAUGAGAUGGACCCGCGUCUGAUUAGG
rnacentral:rRNA from 1 species